AUUACCCUCUUCUUCCUUUCUGACCAAGCCCUACUAUUCGGUUUCCUCCUCUCCACACUUAAAUCAAAUUCAAAGUUCAAAUUGAAAUCCCUGUAAAAUCAGCAAUAAAUCAUUCGCGAAAUCAAUUUAUUACUUCCUUUUUUAUCUCCCAGUUUCUAUCUAUAACAGAGAGGAGUCGAAUCAGUUUUGCUCAUGCAAUUAUACAAGGAAUAUGAUUAGGUUUUCAAAAAUCUCUCUCUUUUAACAAAACUUUACGUUGGUCAUCUUCACCACCACCAUCUUCCCUCCUUCAUCAUUCUUUCAGUGGUUUCUUAUUUUACCUCUCUCGCUCAAGAAUUCUCCUUCGGAAUGAGAUUCGAUUGCGUGUAGAGAAUCUCAUCAGUCUUGCAAUGGCUGGAACAACUCGCCGAUCAAAAGUCAAGGAUAUGAGUGCAGAGGUUGUAGACAGCAACCCUUAUAGCAGGCUCAUGGCACUGCAGUGGAUGGGUAUUGUGGACAAUUACGAAAGAAUAUGGGAUUUUUCAGUUGCCAUAGUUGUUUGUACUGACCCCAUCUUUUCAAUUCAUCAUUCUUUAGACUAAACUACCCUUCCAUUAGAAUCUCAAUAUUUCAUACUUCAUUUGGUUACAUAUUUCAAUAUUGUUCUUUGUACAUGGUACUGGUGGGGUAAGGAGUGUUGCUGCUGAAAUGCUUACAAGAUAUGAAACAGUGGAGUUAGCCAACAUGAAUAGGUUACUUUUCCUCCCUGAACAGGUGUGAAUGUGAUUAUAAUAAUUUAUCAUAACAUUGUUAGGGCCGUAAAGUACUUUUGUAUAUAAGUUGUAACAUGUAUAUUUCUUAGGUUGGUAUGACUAAUACUGAUGCUACUGUCCAAACUUUAUCAGAAAUAAAU